rnacentral:rRNA from 1 species
UAAAGUAUAAGUUAAUUUUAGUACCUUUUGCAUUAUGGUUUAACUAGAUAUUAAAAGUGACCUUUGAUUCUAGAAAACAAAAGAGCUACAUAAAAGCCAAGACAAUAAUGUAGAAAUAUUAUGUUCAGACUUUUUUGUAGAUGUGAAAUGCUUUCCGUUUUUGUUGAUAGCUAGUUGAAAGAGAAAUAUAUUUAAGUGUAGAAUUACAUUUCAAACAUAGAGAUGUACAUCUAUGUUUUAAUGUUAUUUACCUUUAAAGAGGAUAAGCUCUUUAAAGAGAAAGAAAUUUUUAAUCAAUGAUAAAUAAAAAUGUGAGCUUAAUAGUGGCAAGCAUUAAAAGAGUUUUAUAACGUUGUUUUAACAAUAAAUUAUUUUUAUAAUUCUUUAUAUAUCUUUUUCUAAUUAGGAGCUAUAACUUAAUUAAAAUUUAUGUUAAAAUGAGUAUUUAUAUCUUUUUUACUUACAAUAAUAAACUUUAAAGUAUAAGAAAAUAAAAUAUUUUAAAUAUAAAAAAGGAACUCGGCAAAAUUGUUAGCUCCGCCUGUUUACCAAAAACAUGGUUCUAUGCACUAAAGACAUAUAGAAUCGUACCUGCCCAGUGAAAGUUUUAACGGCCGCAGUACCCUGACUGUGCAAAGGUAGCAUAAUCACUUGCCUUGUAAUUGAAGGCUAGAAUGAAUGGUUUGACGAGAGCUAAGCUGUCUCUUUUAUAUUAAAUAUAAAUUAUCUUUUAGGUGCAGAGGCCUAGAUAUUAUUGAAAGACGAAAAGACCCUAUUGAGCUUAAGAAGAGUAAAAAAAUAAUAUAGAUAUCCCAAAUAAAAAUUUUUAUUUCUUCUUUUGUUGGGGCGACAAAAGAACAAAAAUAGCUUCUUUUUAUUAUAUCAACAAAUUUGUUACUUUGAUCCAUGUAUUAUGAAUAGAAGAAAAAGUUACCAUAGGGAUAACAGCGUAAUCUUUUUGGAGAGUUCUUAUUGAAAAAAAGGUUUGCGACCUCGAUGUUGGAUUAAGAGAACUUUUAGGUGUAGCCGCUAUUAAAAGUUGGUCUGUUCGACCAUUAAAUUCUUACAUGAUCUGAGUUCAGACCGGCGUAAGCCAGGUUGGCUUCUAUCUUCAAUUUAAAUCAAAAUAAAUUAGUACGAAAGGACCA